rnacentral:rRNA from 1 species
AUUGAACGCUGGCGGCAGGCCUAACACAUGCAAGUCGAGCGAGCGGCGGACGGGUGAGUAAUGUCUGGGAAACUGCCUGAUGGAGGGGGAUAACUACUGGAAAGGGUAGCUAAUACCGCAUACCAUCAGAUGUGCCCAGAUGGGAUUGGCUUGUAGGUGGGGUAAUGGCUCACCUAGGCGCCGAUCCCUAGCUGGUCUGAGAGGAUGACCAGCAACACGGGAACUAGGACACGGUCCAUACUCCUACGGGAGGCAGCAGUGGGGAAUAUUGCACAAUGGGCGCAAGCCUGAUGCAGCAAUGCCGCGUGUGUGAAGAAGGCCUUCGGGUUGUAAAGCACUUUCAGCGGGGAGGCGGUACCCGAAGAAGAAGCACCGGCUAACUCCGUGCCAGCAGCCGCGGUAAUAG